GAGUGGCGAACGGGUGAGUAACAUAUCGGAACGUGCCUAGUAAUGGGGAAUAACUAAUCGAAAGAUUAGCUAAUACCGCAUACGACCUACGGAUGAAAGCGGGGGACCUUCGGGCCUCGCGCGAUUGGAGCGGCCGAUAUCUGAUUAGCUUGUUGGUAGGGUAAAAGCCUACCAAGGCGACGAUCAGUAGCUGGUCUGAGAGGACGAUCAGCCACACUGGAACUGAGACACGGUCCAGACUCC
rnacentral:rRNA from 1 species